rnacentral:rRNA from 1 species
GUGAGGAAUUUUCCGCAAUGGGCGAAAGCCUGACGGAGCAAUGCCGCGUGAAGGAUGAAGGCCUAUGGGUUGUAAACUUCUUUACUUAGAGAAGAAUAUUGACGGUAUCUGAGGAAUAAGCAUCGGCUCACUCUGUGCCAACAGCCGCGGUAAGACAGAGGAUGCAAGCGUUAUCCGGAAUGAUUGGGCGUAAAGCGUCUGUAGGUGGCUUCAAAAGUCUCCUGUCAAAGAUCAGGGAUUAACCCGGGGCCGACAGGAGAAACUCUGAGGCUAGAGUGUGGUAGGGGGAGAGGGAAGUCCCUGUGGAGCGGUGAAAGGCGUAGAGAUCGGGAGGAACACCAAAGGCGAAAGCACGCUGCUGGGCCACAACUGACACUGAGAGACGAAAGCGAGGGGAGCAAAAGGGAUUAGAUACCCCAGUAGUCC